UACGUAGGUGACAAGCGUUGUCCGGAUUUACUGGGCGUAAAGAGCGCGCAGGCGGUCGAUUAAGUCGAGUGUGAAAGCCCCCGGCUCAACUGGGGAGGGUCAUUCGAUACUGAUCGACUCGAAGGCAGGAGAGGGUAGUGGAAUUCCCGGUGUAGUGGUGAAAUGCGUAGAUAUCUGGAGGAAUACCGGUGGCGAAGGCGGCAUCCUGGACCGGCAUUGACGCUGAGGAGCGAAAGCCAGGGGAGCAAACGGG
rnacentral:rRNA from 1 species